AUGGCGGCCUCAGCAAAAAAGAAGAAUAAGAAGGGAAGACCAUCUCCCUAACAGACUUUCUAGCUGAGGAUGGAGGAACUGGUGGAGGAAGCACCUAUGUCCCCAAACCAGUCAGCUGGGCUGAUGAAACAGACGAUCUGGAAGGAGAUGUGUCAACAACUUGGCAUAGUAACGAUGAUGAUGUGUACAGGGCGCCUCCAAUUGACCGUUCCAUCCUUCCCACUGCUCCACGGGCUGCUCAGGAACCCAAUAUCGACCGGAGCCGUCUUCCCAAGUCGCCACCCUACACUGCUUUCCUAGGGAAUCUGCCCUAUGAUGUGACAGAAGACUCCAUUAAGGAUUUCUUUAGAGGAUUAAAUAUCAGCGCUGUACGCUUACCACGUGAACCCAGCAAUCCAGACAGGUUGAAAGGUUUUGGCUACGCAGAAUUUGAGGACCUGGAUUCUCUGCUCAGUGCUUUGAGUCUCAAUGAAGAGUCUCUAGGUAACAGGAGAAUUCGAGUGGAUGUUGCUGAUCAAGCACAGGAUAAAGGCAGGGAUGACCGUUCUUUUGGUCAAGAUAGAAAUCGGGAUUCUGACAAAACAGACACAGACUGGAGGGCCCGUCCUGCCACAGACAGUUUUGAUGACUACCCACCUAGAAGAGGCGAUGAUAGCUUUGGAGACAAGUAUCGAGAUCGUUACGAUUCAGACCGGUAUCGGGAUGGGUAUAGGGACGGAUACCGGGACGGCCCUCGCAGAGACAUG